rnacentral:misc_RNA from 1 species
UUCCAGCAUGAGCUUGAGCCAGAG